ACAUCCAGAGAAUUUAGCAGAGAUGCUUUAGUGCCUUCGGGAACUCUGAGAUAGGUGCUGCAUGGCUGUCGUCAGCUCGUGUUGUGAAAUGUUGGGUUAAGUCCCGCAACGAGCGCAACCCUUAUCCUUUGUUGCCAGCACGUAAUGGUGGGAACUCAAAGGAGACUGCCGGUGAUAAACCGGAGGAAGGUGGGGAUGACGUCAAGUCAUCAUGGCCCUUACGAGUAGGGCUACACACGUGCUACAAUGGCGCAUACAAAGAGAAGCGACCUCGCGAGAGCAAGCGGACCUCAUAAAGUGCGUCGUAGUCCGGAUUGGAGUCUGCAACUCGACUCCAUGAAGUCGGAAUCGCUAGUAAUCGUAAAUCAGAAUGUUACGGUGAAUACGUUCCCGGGCCUUGUACACACCGCCCGUCACACCAUGGGAGUGGGUUGCAAAAGAAGUAGAUAGCUUAACCUUCGGGAGGGCGUUUACCACUUUGUGAUUCAUGACUGGGGUGAAGUCGUAACAAGGUAAGCGUAGUGCU
rnacentral:rRNA from 1 species